rnacentral:rRNA from 1 species
CCUACGGGAGGCAGCAGUGAGGAAUAUUGGUCAAUGGGCUUACGCCUGACCCAGCCAAGCCGCGUGAGGGAAGACUGUCCUAUGGGUUGUAAACCUCUUUUGUCAGGGAGCAACGCCGGCGACGUGUAGCCGGACGGAGAGUACCUGCAGAAAAAGCAUCGACUAACUCCGUGCCAGCAGCCGCGGUAAUACGGAGGAGGCGAGCGUUAUCGGGAUUUAUUGGGUUUAAAGGGUGCGUAGGCGGAAUGUCAAGUCAGCGGUAAAUUCACGGGGCUCACCCUGGCUCCGCCGUUGAAACUGGCGUUCUUGAGUGGGCGAGAAGUAUGCGGAAUGCGUGGUGUAGCGGUGAAAUGCAUAGAUAUCACGCAGAACUCCGAUUGCGAAGGCAGCAUACCGGCGCCCAACUGACGCUGAGGCACGAAAGCGUGGGUAGCGAACAGGAUUAGAUACCCGUGUAGUC